rnacentral:rRNA from 1 species
GAAAACCACGGUGGUACAGGAUGGGCCCGCGUCUGAUUAGUUAGUUGGCAGGGUAACGGCCUACCAAGACAACGAUCAGUAGCCGGCUUGAGAGAGUGGACGGCCACAUUGGGACUGAGACACGGCCCAGACUCCUGCGGGAGGCAGCAGUGGGGAAUAUUGCACAAUGGGGGGAACCCUGAUGCAGCAAUGCCGCGUGGGUGAAGAAGCACUCCGGUGUGUAAAGCCCUGUCAGCAGGGAAGAAAAUGACAGUACCUGGACAAGAAGCCCCGGCUAACUACGUGCCAGCAGCCGCGGUAAUACGUAGGGGGCAAGCGUUAUCCGGAUUUACUGGGUGUAAAGGGAGCGCAGGCGGCGUGGCAAGUCAGAUGUGAAAACCCGGGGCCCAACCCCGGGAGUGCAUUUGAAACUGCCAUGCUGGAGUGCCGGAGAGGUAAGCGGAAUUCCUAGUGUAGCGGUGAAAUGCGUAGAUAUUAGGAGGAACACCAGUGGCGGAGGCGGCUUACUGGACGGUAACUGACGCUGAGGCUCGAAAGCGUGGGGAGCAAACAGGAUUAGAUACCCUGGUAGUCCACGCCGUAAACGAUG